GAAGUUGGUCAGGCAGUCGCUCCGAUUAUUAUCGGGGAGGAAAGUCCGAACUCCGCAGGGCAAGGUGCUCCGUAACACAGAGUCCUUCCGAUCCGGUCGGAAGGCAGGAAAGUGCCACAGAAACAAUACCGUCCCCGAUUUAUCGGGGUCAAGGGUGAAAUGGUGCGUCCUGCAAUUAAGCGGGAUUAAAGUAAGAGCGCACCGCCCCGAUUGCGAAAUCGGGGGCAGGGUAAACCCCACCUGGAGCAAGAUCAAGCAGAGAGCUGGAAUUGCCCGUUCCGCUAAACUCUCGGGUAGAUCGCUUAACUGCAGCUGUAAGGCUGUCUGUAGAUAAAUGACUGCCGCCCCGCCACGGCGGGGAACAGAAUUCGGCUUAUCGACCAGCUUCAGAA
rnacentral:RNase_P_RNA from 1 species